UUUUUCUUCUGAGUUCCCUUUUUUCUCUCUUUAGUUCUUGGUCUUCUCCUUGAUUUCGAUCCAUGAUUUCUUAAUAGAUUCUAGCCAAAAUAGUUGUGAGAUCCUGCGGGAUUCGUGUUGCAACAGUAAAUCAAGCCUGAAAAUAGUGGCUGAUUUUUAGUCUAUAGAAGUGCAAGUUCUUGAUUUUUUGGUUAUGGUUACCAUUUAAGAGAUUUGCUUGUACAUUGAUGAUUAAGUUUGGGGUCUGAUUGAGUUCUCAUGAUCUGUGCUCGCUCUUUGGAAGGUUUAUUUUGUACUUAGUGUUUGGGCUAAUAUCUAAGCCUCCAGAUUAGGCAUCUGCUGAACUGGACGAACAAUUUUUGUGUGUUCCUUUAUUUUCUG
rnacentral:lncRNA from 1 species